rnacentral:rRNA from 1 species
AUGGAAUUGUUGAUUCAAGCUUUAAAAUCCACUCCCUCUGGUGCUCCUCGCACGCAUGUCUGCGCCUCCAUCCUCCUCCCCAUCGGGACCAGGCAGGGGAAGGAGGAGUGCGGGCCACAUAGACGACAUGGUGACCGAGCUUAUUGUGGCGCCGUCGCCGUUCCUUUGGACGCGGUAGAAGGUGCGAUGGCAAAAGAGAGAGGAGAGGAGGUCCAGCCAUCUGCGGUGCUGCGCCACCGUCUAGAACGAGAUGCUCAUCCUGCUGCUCCACAACAUGGCAGUGUGCAGCUUGCAGAGGCAGACUUCGGGUUGGCAUGGUCGUGCUCCCUCCUCCUAGCUUUUCCGCUUUAG